GAUCUCAAUGAAUGUGAUUCGAGUCCUUGUGGUCCCAACGGCGUCUGCUCCAACAGCCCUGGAAGUUUCAGCUGCAACUGCAGUGCAGGAUACGCUUUCAGUGGGGGAUCUUGUGCGGACAUCGAUGAGUGUUUGAGCAAUCCAUGUCCAAAUGUCUCCGUGUGCACGAACACUCCUGGAAGUUACCUGUGUCAGUGCCCUCCUGGUUACUUGACCUCAGGAGCUUGUGUUGAUAUCGAUGAUUGUGCUUCUGCCACUUGCCCUCAGCACAAAUUUUGUAUGAGAUAAACUCCUGGGCUAUGAUUGUACUUGCUACGCUUGUGCUGAGAAAUGCCAAUAUGGCGCAAUUUUCAUAGAGGAACUUGGAAGUUGUUUUAAGCUCAUUACUGGAGUGAUGACCCUCGAGGACGCAAUGCAGCGUUGUACACGAGACUUCCUUAACAUACAUUAUGUAAACCGUGAUGAUGAAUUUCCAAUAUUGGCUUACUAUUUCCUG